rnacentral:rRNA from 1 species
UACGGUGGGGGUUAGCGUUGUUCGGAAUUACUGGGCGUAAAGCGCGCGUAGGCGGAUUAGAAAGUUGGGGGUGAAAUCCCGGGGCUCAACCCCGGAACUGCCUCCAAAACUACUAGUCUAGAGUUCGAGAGAGGUGAGUGGAAUUCCGAGUGUAGAGGUGAAAUUCGUAGAUAUUCGGAGGAACACCAGUGGCGAAGGCGGCUCACUGGCUCGAUACUGACGCUGAGGUGCGAAAGUGUGGGGAGCAAACAGG